rnacentral:rRNA from 1 species
CCUACGGGCGGCAGCAGUGAGGAAUAUUGGUCAAUGGACGAAAGUCUGAACCAGCCAAGCCGCGUGAAGGAUGACUGCCCUAUGGGUUGUAAACUUCUUUUGUAUGGGAAUAAAAUGUUCCACGUGUGCGUUUUUGUAUGUACCUUAUGAAUAAGGAUCGGCUAACUCCGUGCCAGCAGCCGCGGUAAUACGGAGGAUCCGAGCGUUAUCCGGAUUUAUUGGGUUUAAAGGGGGCGUAGGUGGGGUGUUAAGUCAGUUGUGAAAGUUUGCGGCUCAACCCUAAAAUUGCAGUUGAAACUGGCAGUCUGGAGUAGAGUAGAGGUGGGCGGAAUUCGUGGUGUAGCGGUGAAAUGCUUAGAUAUCACGAAGAACUCCGAUUGCGAAGGCAGCUCACUGGACUGCAACUGACACUGAGGCUCGAAAGUGUGGGUAUCAAACAGGAUUAGAUACCCUAGUAGUC